AGUGAACGCUGGCGGCAUGCCUAACACAUGCAAGUCGAACGGUAACACAGUAAGGGCUGGCGACGACUGGUGGCGGGUGGAGGAAGGGUGAGGAAUACGUCCAGACCUAGUUGUUCGCGGGGGAAAACGUUUGGUAACACCCGCUACUACCUAAUACUAAAUGCAGGUGACAGCAAGGGCUCUUGCGAUCGUGCCCGCCUGUAUCAGAUGAUGUCGGAUUAGCUAGUUGGCGGGAUAAAGGCGCACCAAGGCGACGAUCCGUAGCUGGUCUGAGAGGAUGAUCAGCCACACUGGAACUGAGACACGGUCCAGACUCCUACGGGAGGCAGCAGUGGGGAAUAUUGGACAAUGGGCGAAAGCCUGAUCCAGCAAUGCCGCGUGGGUGAUGAAGGCCUUCGGGUUGUAAAGCCCUCUUGUUCGGAAAGAAAAGCCGCUGGCUAAUACCCGGCGGUCAUGACGGUACCGAAAGAAUAAGCACCGGCUAACUACGUG
rnacentral:rRNA from 1 species